UACGGAGGGGGCUAGCGUUGUUCGGAAUUACUGGGCGUAAAGCGCACGUAGGCGGCUUUGUAAGUUAGAGGUGAAAGCCCGGGGCUCAACCCCGGAAUUGCCUUUAAGACUGCAUCGCUUGAACGUCGGAGAGGUGAGUGGAAUUCCGAGUGUAGAGGUGAAAUUCGUAGAUAUUCGGAAGAACACCAGUGGCGAAGGCGGCUCACUGGACGACUGUUGACGCUGAGGUGCGAAAGCGUGGGGAGCAAACAGG
rnacentral:rRNA from 3 species